rnacentral:tRNA from 1 species
GGAGGGUAUAGCUCAAGUGGUAGAGCGCAUGCUUAGCAUGCAUGAGGUCCUGGGUUCAAUCCCCAGUACCUCCU